GCUGGGCAAGAUGGCGCACGUCUGUAAUCCCAGCAGCUCAGGAGGCUGAGGCAGGAGGAUCGCAAGUUCAAACCAGCCUCAGCAACUUAGUAAGGCUCUAAGCAACUCAGUGAGACCCUGUCUCUA
rnacentral:sRNA from 1 species